AGCAUUAAGUCUUAAUUAGAUUUUGCGCUCUGGUGAAGUGUCCUUAAGAUCUGGGGACUGAAACAUUCUUUUAAAGAAGUUUACAGUUUUCUCUUCUAAAUAUUACUCUGCUCACAGACAACUUAUCAAGGAUCCUUUCUCAAGUAUUUUCCGGAAUAACUUCAGUACUAUCAGCAAUUUCUGCUGCUGCCCAGGAGAAGUCUUUGCUUUGAGAGAGUUACGAAAAAGCUCCCACAAUCUUGGUUUAAGAUGAAGUCUGCCUGCUUGUUUUUAUACCGCGGUUGGGUUCAGUGCACUGCGCCUACCAGCUGGACUAACGGUUGUCAUCUGAACACCAAGACUGACCCGGUGAUCUUAAGCUCUCCAGUUUCUCUAGGACAGACCCUCCCUCGCCUGCUUCCAUGAAGAGAUGCACGGUUUCACCCCAUAGGACUGCGCCAUAUAACUCGGCAAUGUUCUCAUGCCGGAAGCAAGCCUGGAUUUCCACAUCGGAUGGCUUAAAUUGAUCUACUGGGAUCUAGAACACAGAAAUACCAGUAAGAUGCUAACCAACCCAGGACAGCGAAAAAAUAUCUAUAAUAGAGGUCAACCCACAAACCAGAAGGCAAAUAAAUGCCCCCAAGGAUCCCUCAAGGAUCUGCAUGAAAUUAUACUGCCAAGUUCAAAUAAUGUUGACUUCAAACCUGCAUUUACAUUAUGUCCGCUUUAGGUGAUGGCCGGGGCCUGGGGGCUUGGGGAAAUAGGUGAAGGUGGUCAAAGAGUAUGAACUUGUACAAUUCACAAGAAGAAAAUAACAAAAUAUAAAGUAUUAUUUUCAUUUAAAAUGUAG